UUGCUGCUUCGCUGACGAGUGGCGGACGGGUGAGUAAUGUCUGGGAAACUGCCUGAUGGAGGGGGAUAACUACUGGAAACGGUAGCUAAUACCGCAUAAUGUCGCAAGACCAAAGAGGGGGACCUUCGGGCCUCUUGCCAUCGGAUGUGCCCAGAUGGGAUUAGCUUGUUGGUGGGGUAACGGCUCACCAAGGCGACGAUCCCUAGCUGGUCUGAGAGGAUGACCAGCCACACUGGAACUGAGACACGGUCCAGACUCCUACGGGAGGCAGCAGUGGGGAAUAUUGCAC
rnacentral:rRNA from 1 species